CAUCCUACGGGACGCAGCAGUAGGGAAUCUUCCACAAUGGACGAAAGUCUGAUGGAGCAACGCCGCGUGAGUGAAGAAGGGUUUCGGCUCGUAAAGCUCUGUUGGUAGUGAAGAAAGAUAGAGGUAGUAACUGGCCUUUAUUUGACGGUAAUUACUUAGAAAGUAACGGCUAACUACGUGCCAGCAGCCGCGGUAAUACGUAGGGGGUAAGCGUUGUCCGGAUUUAUUGGG
rnacentral:rRNA from 1 species